GCCGUCCCACUUUACAUGUAGCAGUGUGUUUGUAGGGUGAUCGUGUAUCUAUGGGCUUGGUUCCUGGCACGCCAUUUCACAAAUAUUCUAGAUAAAUUGUUAAUAAAUAUGUUCCUUUUUGUCACAAUAUUUGUCUUGUUUUCAACAUUUUUAGGCACCAGCUAUAUAUGGGUGGGUCUUAUGAAAAGAGACUGGAUAUAUUGCCUGGAUUUAACUGACACUACUAUUAAAUCCAUCAUUUGUGUACAUACAAUGUACGUGUGUUCACUUUCUCUAUUUUAUGUUUAACUCAGGUAUUGGCAGACUGUCAUUAUUGAAGAUGAAGAUGGGCAACAGUACAGUGUCUCAUUAGAUGCGCCUAAUGCAAAGAGAUUGACUGGAGGAGAUUCAGAGUUUGCGAAACUAAUAUUAAGCAACAUCAAAGAGGCUGGUUCAGAGGCUGCUCAAGCCAAGAAAGGAGUGUCUUCUCCAAGCACUCCCCGACCAGACUGUCCCCGUCCAGAAGGACCAGAAGCCAGUACCGCUAGUUUGCCAUCAGGUUCAAGCACAGCAACAUCAUCUUCAAGACACGAGUGGACAGAAGGAGAAACACGGCAACUUAUAUCGGUAAUGGGCAGGCCUUAAAACUUGUACAAUUCUAAAAGGCUGUUUUAAAGAGAAUAUCAUCAUCAUCUAUUAGUCGCAAGCCAGAUCUCGUUCACAGCGCCACGCCAGGUAUCUUUAUCCCUCAUUAUGCAUGGAAGAUCUUCAAUUUCACAUUGGGUGUCUCUGCCAUUCACAUCAAUGUAGUUGGAAGCUCUUUGUCCUUUAUUAGGGCAUGGAAGUCUCCAUCAUAAUUCCACUGGGUUUGGGAACAAGGUGUGACACAUGACCAUACUAGGAAAGUUGCAGUUGCUCCGGUAAUAUUGUUGUUGGGCAUUUCACUGUUGCCAAAAAUAUGAGCAAAAAUGUCAUUCGGAUGUACAUGUAGCAUUGACACCAUGUCAAUGUUGCGUCAAAAUAUUUUUUUUCCUUGUUUAGUUCUGUAAAAUAUUAACCAAAUUCACUUUAUGUACUUCUUACUUUACAUAUACAUGCAACACAACAAGAAAACUUUUGUUAUGGUAGUCAGGAAUCAAAUAGAGCAGAAAUGAUAGCUUGGCUGUAGACGUAACAUUGACAAUGUGUCAACCCCACAUGUCACAUUUCCAUUGAGUGCUUUUGACACUGUUACAUCCACAUUAAGGUAUUGUUUCUGCUAUAUUUGAAACCUGACUAUACCAAAACAAAAGCUUUUCUUUUAGUCUAGUUCCCUGAUCCCACUGAAGAUGAAAGGGAGCAAUUUGUCGUGUCAGUGCAACAAGGUCGCAACUUGAUUCUGCAACAAAGUCGAAUCUGGAGCAAAUACGCUCUGUGCAAGGUCGUUUCUAGCAUAUUGCAACAUCCAUUGACUUUGUGUGUAUAUCUGGGUUAAUUUAAGCGAGAUACAACCUUUUGACAUUGAAAACUCGCAUGUCAUGUACAUGACAACACAUGCUGGUUUUUUUUUAGA